rnacentral:ncRNA from 1 species
CUAGUUGAUCCUUCUAGUAGUCAUAUGCAUGUAUUAAUGUUUAAGUCAUGCAUGUGUAAGUAUGAAAAAUUCAAACUGUGAAAUUGCUAGUGGAUCAUUAGUAUGAACAAAUUCAGAUUGUGAAAUUAUGAAUGAAUUAUUAAAUUAUUUAUAGUUUGCUUAAUAGUAUCUACUAGUUGGAUAACCAUAGUAAUUCUAGAUCUAAUACGUGAAACAAACCCCAAAUUCUGAAAGGGAGGCAUUUAUUAGAUAACAGGUCGACGCGAGAUGUAUCCAUUAUUAUGAUGAUUCAUGAUAACUCGAUAGAUUGUAUGGUCAUUGUGUCAGUGAUGCAUCAUCCAAAUUUUUGCCCGAUCAACUUUCGGUAUUAGGAUAGUGUCCAACCAUAAUGGUGUGGGUGAUAGAGAAUUGGAUAUAAUUCCAGAGAGGGAGCCUAGAAAUGGCUACCACAUCUAAGAAAGGAAGCCGGCACAAAAAUUUCCCAAUCCUAACAUGGAGAGUUAUUGAUAAUAAAUAAAUACCGAGUUUAAUUAUUCUGAUAAUUGGAAUGAGUACAAUCUAAUUCCCUUAACGAGGAUACAUUAAAAGGCAAGUCUAUUGCUAAUAGUCGUGGUAAUUCAAGCUCCAAUAGAGUACAUUUAAUUUGUUGUAGUUAAAAAGGUCAUAGUUGGACUUUGGGAUGGGCGUCCAGUUUGCCUAUUGUGUACAACGACCAUCUCAUCCCUUCUUUCGGUGAUGUGCUUAUGCCAUUAAUAGUCGAGUUGCACCUACAACAUUGUUACUUUGAAGAAAUUAGAGUUCUUAAAGCAAUACUAUGCUUUGUAUACAUUAGUAUGCGACAACAUUAUAGGAUUUCGAUCCUAUUAUGUUGGCCUUUGGGAUCAGAGUUAUAUUUAAGAAUGACAGUCGGGGGCAUUCAUAUUUUGUAGUCAGAGGUGAAAUUUUUGGAUUUAAGAAAGAUGAACAACUACGAAAUUACUUUUCAAGGAUGUUUUCUUUAAUCAAAACUUAAAGUUAGGGUCUUGAAGAUGAUCAGAUACCAUCCUAUUCUCAACCGUAAAUGAUGCCGACCAAGGAUCAAAAGAUGAUGCUUUUAAGAUUCUGCCGGUACCUUAUAAAAAUCAAAGUUUUUGGUUUCGA